AACACAUCAGGCAGAAUGGAUAGACGACCAUCCACCUAUCUGCUGAUAUUUAAUUGUUUUACAGUUGUCCGCAUCUAUGGAAAAGAUUUAAACCAGGGGGUGAGAAACUCUGACCACAAUGCAGUACUGCAGAAAGACCACCAUCACAAUCUCCCCUGAUGACCAAUGGGAACCAGCUUGCUGUGGCAAACACUACAGAUGAAAGUCAAGUGUCAGACCAUGCAGUGUAUGCUGUCGUCAACCACCGACAGUCUGGGAUACCUGCCAGAGAACAGCAUGCUGUGACUAAACCAGAUAAAAACUCAGAAUAUGCUGCCAUCAAUGUUUCCUAAACAUUUUGGAUUUUUCAUAGCAUGCAGAUGAAAACAUGGAUGGAAAAUGUACUCAAGUACGUGUUGAUGUCAUGGAACAGCGAACAACCAUACAGCAUGAGAGGUUAACGGAGGAGGCUUGUGGUUAUGCAGAUGCACUCUACAGUCAUCCUAAAUACACCAGGCGAGACCACAAGCAGCAUUUAAUCUUUUUCACACCCUCAGAUUUGGAGUGAUUAAGUAUAUUUCUCAUGUGCUUCCUCAUUGAAUACGUGUUCUGUGACUGUGGAACCCUUUUGUUCUUUAAAAGGUCAUGAAUGUGUUGUCCUUGAUAUUUAUUUUUGCAUUCCUCUCAGUUGAGAUGACUAUUUGAUUAUUUAAAUAGUUUGAAUAGGUAUUUACGAGUAUUUCUGUCCAACACGCAGCACAAACACUGUACCUGGCCCAUCGACCACACUGUGGUCGAGUUUAAAUGUGCAGGAAGUCAAAGAGGGCAACAAAAGAUUUCUUGACAUCAUUGCAUAUAUUGUUUACGUACUGAGAUGGUAGUUUGAGCAGUGGUCUUAUCAUAGUGGUGUGUCACAUAUUCAGCAGGUUGAAUAACAUACAAGACACAAUGGAUAAGAACAAAGAAUUUGCCAAAACCAAUUUGCCAUAAAAAACAUAUUAAAGAACAACCCAACAUGUUUUGGCCUGUUCAACAUCGAUUCUGGGCUUGAUAUGAUUAUGAAAUAUGAAGUCGUUUUCUUCCAUGAUUUAUCAUCGUAAGUAAUGAAAUCUUGCUGACAUUAGUGGGGAUAACUGGAAAACGAAGUCAAACAUUUACAUUUUGAGUAACUGAUUAGAUUAAUAACUGGGCAAUACAUGGAGAAAUACAAUAAUAUUUUAGUGACUUGUAGAAUUGUAAAAAUUCCCAGGUAGAAUAAAUUCCCAAGUCUCCCAAACAUAAAAUCAGGGAUUGCCCUGUGCACCUUAUAAGACUACAAAAAACGGCCAUUAUGCUGAUAACAUACAGCGUGUCAUAUUUAAAACCUCAUAAUUCAGUUUUCUUUAGAGGAUGUCCAGUGGAGCACAGUGUUCCUUGAGCUGUAAUCUGUUUACAGAUGCUCACAAAAGGUUCUUUCACUGAGAAAUGGCAAGUGGAAAAUGUCAUGAAAUGCUUCUGAAUAAUGUGACCUGGUUUAUAUAUUCCUUACAGUAUACUCACUGGAAUAGGAGAGGAAGGUGACACUUUUUAAAAAUGUACAUGCUGUAUGUGAGUCCUUAAAAUCAUUUGAAAUGACUCUGUCAACUUUUUUUCGGACUGUGAAUGGAAAAAUUUCAUCUCAACAACUGUGUCUGAUAGCUAUAGCCCACACACAAGUUCUGCUCUCAUAGUCUCUCUCUCUGUCUCUCUCUCUGUCUCUCGCUCACACACACACACACACACACACACACACACACGCACACACGCACACACACACGCACGUACACAUGCACUCACACACUAGUAAUCAGGUUUUUUCUCUGAUAAACAAAGCCCUGGUUCAGGAGGCAGAGAUAUGGAGAGUGUGGAGGCUUGUGCCAAGGCAGCGUUUGAGAUGGGCCUGAUUAGAACGAGCCUAAGGUCACUCACAGAGUGUGUACUCUACUGCACUGCAAUCUAAGAACAUCUGACAAGGAGUAGAGCAGUGCUGAAUGUUUGUGAUCCUACUCCAAAAUCUCCCUUAAAAAUACAGUUUCUGUAUCUUGAGGAUUUAUUAAAGCUGAUCCAUCCAUCCAUCCA